GUGGGACCACCCUUUGAGAGUGAUUCAUUCACAGCGCCAGUCAUUGGGAUUAACCCAAUAUCGAUUCCCGGCAUAUCUAGCUUACCUCGGAGUGACGGACUUGCAGGACCAGCCACCGGGACUGAUACUCUUAUGACUCCUGGCAUUCCCCGGAUACCUGAGGAUGAUGGACCUACAGGACCAGCCGUUGUGCCUGAUGCCACUACAGUUUCUGGGACUGAUAGUUUGCCUGAAAGCGGUGUCUCCCCGCCACAGCCGAGAGGUAUGA